UGUUUGGACCUGAUGGUUGAGAUGGUGGUCUGUCGUAAAACUAACGGUCCACCAUUUUGACCAUCAGAAGUUUCUUUCUGCUACUUUUCUUUGUCUUUUCCUUCAACUAGCUCCUUACCCUGAAACACUAAAAACCAGCAUUAAAUGCAACCUUGGUUACUUGAAAACAAGCAAUUUUUCCCAAGAAAAAGAUGCACAAUGUUCCAUCAAAAGCCAGAACA
rnacentral:lncRNA from 1 species